rnacentral:rRNA from 1 species
AUUGAACGCUGGCGGCAGGCCUAACACAUGCAAGUCGAACGAGUGGCGGACGGGUGAGUAAUGUCUGGGGAACUGCCCGAUAGAGGGGGAUAACUACUGGAAACGGUGGCUAAUACCGCAUACUCUCGGAUGAACCCAUAUGGGAUUAGCUAGUUGGUGGGGUAACGGCUCACCUAGGCGACGAUCCCUAGCUGGUCUGAGAGGAUGAUCAGCCACACUGGGACUGAGACACGGCCCAGACUCCUACGGGAGGCAGCAGUGGGGAAUAUUGCACAAUGGGCGCAAGCCUGAUACAGCCAUGCCGCGUGUAUGAAGAAGGCCUUCGGGUUGUAAAGUACUGUCAGCGGGGAGGCGUUACCCGCAGAAGAAGCACCGGCUAACUCCGUGCCAGCAGCCGCGGUAAUAC